AGCUAAGAACACUAAAUAUUUUUUAAAUUUUUUUAAAUUAUCCCUACCUUUAUUUCCAAAUCAUUAAUCUCAUAUGGACAAGUAUAUUGUUACUUUCAUCCUUUAUUUAUUAUUAUUUUUUUUUAAUGUUGUACUGCUAUUGAGUGUCUUAAUCUCUUAAGCUUUUUGUUUGAUCCAUAUAGUAAGUUUUCAGCUAAUGACUCCCAACC
rnacentral:lncRNA from 1 species